rnacentral:lncRNA from 1 species
UGCUCCUGCUCCUCCUGUACCUCCGCCUCGUCACUAGAGGCGUGCGCGGAGGGUACCUCCUCCUCCUCCUCCUCCGACGACGACGAAGGCACAGGCGACGGGGCCCUCACCCCUUUACCCUUUCCUCGACCCCUGCCCCGACCCCUGCCUCUAGCCAAGACCUGUGCCCCCACCGCUUCCUCCACGGGUGCGUCACCCCUGCCUCCACCCCUCCCUCGACGCCUUCCUCGACCUCUCGAUGCG